GAAGAGAAGAAGAAGAAAAAAU
rnacentral:sRNA from 1 species